CACAGUAGGGAAUCUUAGACAAUGGGGGCAACCCUGAUCUAGCCAUGCCGCGUGUGUGAUGAAGGCCCUAGGGUCGUAAAGCACUUUCGCCAGAGAUGAUAAUGACAGUAUCUGGUAAAGAAACCCCGGCUAACUCCGUGCCAGCAGCCGCGGUAAUACGGAGGGGGUUAGCGUUGUUCGGAAUUACUGGGCGUAAAGCGCACGUAGGCGGAUUAGUAAGUUAGAGGUGAAAUCCCAGGGCUCAACCCUGGAACUGCCUUUAAUACUGCUAGUCUUGAGUUCGAGAGAGGUAAGUGGAAUUCCGAGUGUAGAGGUGAAAUUCGUAGAUAUUCGGAGGAACACCAGUGGCGAAGGCGGCUUACUGGCUCGAUACUGACGCUGAGGUGCGAAAGUGUGGGGAGCAAACAGGAUUAGAUACCCUGGUAGUCCACACCGUAAACGAUGAAUGCCAGACGUCAGCAAGUAUACUUGUUGGUGUCACACCUAACGGAUUAAGCAUUCCGCCUGGGGAGUACGGUCGCAAGAUUAAAACUCA
rnacentral:rRNA from 1 species